rnacentral:rRNA from 1 species
UACGAAGGGUGCAAGCGUUACUCGGAAUUACUGGCGUAAAGCGUGCGUAGGUGGUGAGUUAAGUCUGUCGUGAAAUCCCCGGGCUCAACCUGGAAUGGCAUUUGGGACUGCAAGGCUUGAGUGCGGCAGAGGAGACUGGAAUUCCUGGUGUAGCAGUGAAAUGCGUAGAUAUCAGGAGGAAUACCGAUGGCGAAGGCAGGUCUCUGGGCUGACACUGACGCUCAGGCACGAAAGCGUGGGGAGCAAACAGG